GAGGCAGCAGUGAGGAAUAUUGGUCAAUGGCCGCAGGGCUGAACCAGCCAAGUCGCGUGAGGGAUGACGGUCCUAUGGAUUGUAAACCUCUUUUGUCAGGGAGCAAAGGGCGCCACGUGUGGCGUUUUGCGAGUACCUGAAGAAAAAGCAUCGGCUAACUCCGUGCCAGCAGCCGCGGUAAUACGGAGGAUGCGAGCGUUAUCCGGAUUUAUUGGGUUUAAAGGGUGCGCAGGCGGAAUGUCAAGUCAGCGGUAAAAUUUCGGGGCUCAACCCCGUCGUGCCGUUGAAACUGGCGUUCUUGAGUGAGCGAGAAGUAUGCGGAAUGCGUGGUGUAGCGGUGAAAUGCAUAGAUAUCACGCAGAACUCCGAUUGCGAAGGCAGCAUACCGGCGCUCAACUGACGCUCAUGCACGAAAGCGUGGGUAUCGAACAGGAUUAGAUACCCUGGUAGUCCACGCAGUAAACGAUGAAUACUAACUGUCCGGGCAGAAUGAUGCCUGG
rnacentral:rRNA from 1 species